UACGGAGGGUGCGAGCGUUGUUCGGAAUUACUGGGCGUAAAGCGCGCGUAGGCGGCUCUUCAAGUCAGGCGUGAAAGCCCCGGGCUUAACCCGGGAAUAGCGCUUGAUACUGUUGGGCUUGAGUCCGGGAGAGGAUAGUGGAAUUCCCAGUGUAGAGGUGAAAUUCGUAGAUAUUGGGAAGAACACCAGUGGCGAAGGCGGCUAUCUGGACCGGAACUGACGCUGAGGCGCGAAAGCGUGGGGAGCAAACAGG
rnacentral:rRNA from 1 species